rnacentral:rRNA from 1 species
CCCGAAAGUUCGAACGGGGAGAUUCAAUUGCCUCGCCGGUUAUGACCAUUUAACAGUGAUGUGUUUAUGAUAUAUAUUUGAGACAUUAUAUGGCGGUUGCGGGUUUAUUCUCGUAGCUGUUUCUGUAUAGUGCUCCACUGUUUUAUGAUAUAUAGUUUAUAGCCGGAGGCGUGCACUUCUCCCCUUGUAGGACGUCGUGACCCAUUGGAUUAUGUUGUCUAAGGCUUAUAAUGGAGACCGUGGCAUUAAGUUUCGGCUUUAAUGACCCGGACUUAUAGUGUCCCGACAUCUAUCCGAUGGUAUAAUUAUGAUGAUAGAUCGCUAAUGAGCGUUCAGAUCCAUAACAAAUGCUUUAUUAUGAGACAAAUAGUGGAAAUCGGAUUUAAUGCCGAUUCUACACAUAUGGUAUUGUUAGUUGUGGUAUUCUCGAACCGUUCUUUAAAUAUCAUCAGUCAACGGCGUUUAUGUUUUGGGUAAUUACAGGACCCGUCUUGAAACACGGACCAAGGAGUCUAGCAUGUGCGCAAGUCAUUGGGACUUUGUGAAACCUAAAGGCGUAAUGAAAGUGAAAUAUUUGUGAAUUUUCGUAAUUCACUGAAUUUAAGGGAAGAUGGGUAACG